CUGGAUGAACAAGUUCAACUUGGCGAUGGAGGCAGAGAAUGUCACAUUGAUAAAAGAUUUGUUUUCCGUACAGUCACAUUUUUAUCAGUGUUCCACACUCAUAAGAGGAAGAAUAUGGAGAGUUUAGAAGAGGACAGAGAGGGUGAAAGACUGCACAACAGUGUGGACCAUGGUGCAGAGUGCGGUUUACAGUCAACACUGAAGAAAUAUGCCUGUGAACUCACACUGGACCCAAACACAGCUCACAGAAAGCUCAUUCUGUUUGAGGGGAACAGAAAAGUGAGACGAGCGGAAGAGGAACAGUUGUAUUCUGAUCACCCAGAGAGAUUUGAAAAAUGGUCACAAGUGCUGUGUAGAGAGGGCCUGUCUGGGCGCUGUUACUGGGAGGUAGAGUGGACUGGGCAAGAGAUUCGUAUAGGAGUGACAUAUAAAGGAAUCUGCAGGAGAGGAUUAGGGUAUGAGUGUGGAAUUGGACAUAAUGACAUGUCCUGGAGUCUCAGUUGUUAUGAUGACUACUUCAACGCCAGGCACAACAAGGAGAACAUUACUGUACCUGCACCCUCCUCUAGCUCUUACAGAGUAGGAGUGUUUCUGGACUGGCCUGCCGGCACUCUGUCCUUCUACAGUGUCUCCUCUGACACGCUGAACCACCUACACACUUUCCACAACACAUUCACCGAGCCCCUCUACCCAGGGUUUAGGAUGUGGUAUCGUGGGUCUUCAGUUUCCCUGUGCAAGACAACUGCUGGGGAGUGCUGAACAAUAGAUGUUGUUAGGACCAUCAGUAUGUAUAAAUGCUUCUCUUUUUUUAACAAGUGGGGUUACAGGCAGAAUACAACACAGACACAAAGACAGGCUCUGGCAUACACUCAUUAAGUGUAACUCAGAGUUUAUAUUGGUGAGGAAUGCCCUUGACUUCCAUGUGAGGCUCUUGUAGAUGUAUCAGAUGUAUACAUUUAUCUUUACAGUGACAGAAAAUGUCAAGUGAGCAAUUUCCUUUAUAUUUCUGAUGGCAUGAUGAAUGAAAACAUAUUGAAAAUGUUGUAUGCCAUGGAAUCCUAACUGAUGGUAAAUAAAAAGUAUCGCGACAACA